AGUGAACGCUGGCGGUAGGCCUAACACAUGCAAGUCGAACGGCAGCACAGAGGAGCUUGCUCCUUGGGUGGCGAGUGGCGGACGGGUGAGGAAUACAUCGGAAUCUACUCUGUCGGGGGGGAUAACGUAGGGAAACUUACGCUAAUACCGCAUACGACCUACGGGUGAAAGCAGGGGACCUUCGGGCCUUGCGCGAUUGAAUGAGCCGAUGUCGGAUUAGCUAGUUGGCGGGGUAAAGGCCCACCAAGGCGACGAGCCGUAGCUGGUCUGAGGGGAUGACACAGCACACUGGAACUGAGAAGCGGUCCAGACUCCUACGGGAGGCAGCAGUGGGGAAUAUUGGACAAUGGGCGCAAGCCUGAUCCAGCCAGACCGCGUGGGUGAAGAAGGCCUUCGGGUUGUAAAGCCCUUUUGUUGGGAAAGAAAUCCAGCUGGCUAAUACCCGGUUGGGAUGACGGUACCCAAAGAAUAAGCACCGGCUAACUUCGUGCCAGCCGCCGCGGUAA
rnacentral:rRNA from 1 species